GACAGAGGGUGCAAACGUUGUUCGGAAUUACUGGGCGUAAAGCGCGUGUAGGCGGCAGGGCAUGUCGGAUGUGAAAUCCCGUGGCUCAACCACGGAAGUGCACCCGAAACUGCCCAGCUUGAGUCUCGGAGAGGAAGGCGGAAUGCUUGGUGUAGAGGUGAAAUUCGUAGAUAUCAAGAGGAACACCGGUGGCGAAGGCGGCCUUCUGGACGAUGACUGACGCUGAGACGCGAAAGCGUGGGUAGCAAACAGG
rnacentral:rRNA from 1 species